rnacentral:misc_RNA from 1 species
GAUGAAGAACGUAGCGAAAUGCGAUACGUAAUGUGAAUUGCAGAAUUCAGUGAAUCAUCGAAUCUUUGAACGCAUAUUGCGCUCUCUGGUAUUCCGGAGAGCAUGCUUGUUUGAGUAUCAGUAAGCACCUCAACUUCCAUAUCUUUUUUGAAAUGGGAGUUGGACUUGAGUGAUCCCAACGCUUUUCCUCACCGAAAAGUGGCGGGUUACUUGAAAUGCAGGUGCAGCUGGACUUUUCUCUGAGCUAUAAGCAUAUCUAUUUAGUCUGCCUAAAAAACAGAUUAUUACCUUUGCUGCAGCUAACAUAAAGGAGAUUAGUUCUUGUGCUGACUGAUGCAGGAUUCACAAAGACAGGCUUCGGCCGACUUUGUAAACUCGAUCUCAAAUCAAGUAAGACUACCCGCUGAACUUAAGCAUAUCAAUAAGCGGAGGA